GCCGCGGUGGCGGAACUGGUAUACGCGCUGGACUUAAAAUCCAGUGGUGGCAACACCUUGAGAGUUCGAUUCUCUCCCGCGGCA
rnacentral:tRNA from 1 species